rnacentral:rRNA from 1 species
UACGUAGGGGGCAAGCGUUGUCCGGAAUCAUUGGGCGUAAAGCGCGUGUAGGCGGCUUGGUAAGUCCGCUCUGAAAGCCCGGGGCUCAACCCCGGGAGGCGGGUGGAUACUGUCAAGCUCGAGUCCGGAAGAGGCGAGUGGAAUCCUGGUGUAGCGGUGAAAUGCGCAGAUAUCAAGGAGGAACACCAAUGGCGAAGGCAGCUCGCUGGGACGGUACUGACGCUGAGACGCGAAAGCGUGGGGAGCGAACAGG